rnacentral:antisense_RNA from 2 species
UGUAGGAGUGAGCCUGCUCGCGAUGGCGGCGGGUCAGUCAACAUCAUUGCUGACUGACCCGCCGCCAUCGCGAGCAGGCUCGCUCCCACU